GACGAACGCUGGCGGCGUGCUUAACACAUGCAAGUCGUACGGUAAGGCCCUUUCGGGGGUACACGAGUGGCGCACGGGUGAGUAACACGUGAGUAACCUGCCCACAACUUUGGGAUAACGCUAGGAAACUGGUGCUAAUACUGGAUAUGUGCUCCUGCUGCAUGGUGGGGGUUGGAAAGCUCCGGCGGUUGCGGAUGGACUCGCGGCCUAUCAGCUUGUUGGUGGGGUAGUGGCCUACCAAGGCGGCGACGGGUAGCCGGCCUGAGAGGGUGACCGGCCACAUUGGGACUGAGAUACGGCCCAGACUCCUACGGGAGGCAGCAGUGGGGAAUAUUGCACAAUGGGCGCAAGCCUGAUGCAGCAACGCCGCGUGCGGGAUGACGGCCUUCGGGUUGUAAACCGCUUUCAGCAGGGACGAAGCUUUUUGUGACGGUACCUGCAGAAGAAGCACCGGCUAACUACGUG
rnacentral:rRNA from 1 species